rnacentral:rRNA from 1 species
AAGACUUGACAUCCUGCUGACGUAUUUUGUAAUGAAAUAUUCUCUUCGGAGCAGCAGAGACAGGUGGUGCAUGGUUGUCGUCAGCUCGUGUCGUGAGAUGUUGGGUUAAGUCCCGCAACGAGCGCAACCCCUAUAGUUAGUUGCCAUCAUUAAGUUGGGCACUCUAGCUAGACUGCCGGUGACAAACCGGAGGAAGGUAGGGAUGACGUCAAAUCAUCAUGCCCUUUAUGUCUUGGGCUACACACGUGCUACAAUGGCCAGUACAGAGGGCAGCGAAGGAGUGAUCCGGAGCGAACCCCACAAAGCUAGUCCCAGUUCGGAUUGUAGGCUGCAACUCGCCUAUAUGAAGUCGGAAUCGCUAGUAAUCGCAGGUCAGCAUACUGCGGUGAAUACGUUCCCGGGCC